rnacentral:rRNA from 1 species
UGACGACUUGUGAAUAGCGGAGGGAUCAUUA